rnacentral:rRNA from 1 species
AACGAACGCUGGCGGCAUGCCUAACACAUGCAAGUCGAACGAAGCCUUCGGGCUUAGUGGCGCACGGGUGCGUAACGCGUGGGAAUCUGCCCUUGGGUUCGGAAUAACUGUUAGAAAUGACUGCUAAUACCGGAUGAUGUCUUCGGACCAAAGAUUUAUCGCCCAAGGAUGAGCCCGCGUAGGAUUAGGUAGUUGGUGGGGUAAUGGCCCACCAAGCCGACGAUCCUUAGCUGGUCCGAGAGGAUGAUCAGCCACACUGGGACUGAGACACGGCCCAGACUCCUACGGGAGGCAGCAGUGGGGAAUAUUGGACAAUGGGCGAAAGCCUGAUCCAGCAAUGCCGCGUGGGUGAUGAAGGCCUUAGGGUUGUAAAGCUCUUUUACCAGGGAUGAUAAUGACAGUACCUGGAGAAUAAGCUCCGGCUAACUCCGUGCCAGCCGCCGCGGUAAUAC